rnacentral:pre_miRNA from 1 species
AUGUAGUGUGACAUGCCCGUUUGGGAUUUACUCUGAUGUGUAUUUAAUUGUUAUUUAAUUACUUUUGGGUAACGGGGUGUUACAGUGAA